AAUCCAUGAUGUGGACAUUGUAACAAGAUAUCAUGGAACCUCUCUACAUACUCAUAAAGAGGUUCUCCUUCUUGUUGUGAAAAACAAUACAGUUUUUGACGAAU